AUGUUGUUGCCAGCGCUUUCCCGGGCCGAGCCGGAAUUCUUUAUUAGAACGUCGGCAGGCAAAGCCCGAAGGAAGGCUGCUAUCCCCUCGGCCUUCUUCCUUUUCGAUGAAAAACAAAUCAACAUCUCAAUCUCCGAAAGCGUUUUCCUUACCGCUAAUAUCCCCCCUUCGUCGAGCCUUUCCUUUAGUGGUAAGGGAUAUGCACCUUAUCUAAACGUCGGCAGGCAUUCCGGAAUUCUCCUUUUUUGGCCCCGGGUGAACAUAGGCUCAAACAUGAUUGGAGGUCCUAGCUACGCCAUGCGUUCAAUAAAAAAAAGCAAGCCUCUGGGAAGCUGCAGGGAUUACAAAAAGAGGGUGCUUUCUUGUGUUGCAUUGAAAAAAGGACAAAGGAGAAGACGCUCUUCGACUUUCUUUCUUCCUCCCGCGUCUAAAGACGAAUAUUAG
rnacentral:rRNA from 1 species